rnacentral:tRNA from 1 species
UAGCUCAGAGCUAGAGCACUUGCCUAGCAUGCAUGAGGCCCUGGGUUCAAUUCCCAG